UGAAUUUGAAAUAUCAAUAAUAAUUAUAAUUGUAAUGGUGUCUAUAAAAUCAAGCUCUCGUUAACUGGUCUCCAGUUUUUACAACCCUCCUUGGAAAAUCAUGUUCUCAACAGGUUGUCAAGUUACAUGGCGACCUAUGAAUUUUAAAAUUACUAUCGUGUAUAUCCAGAUGAGAGGCAUCAGCAGACGAACGUGAAUGAAGGUUGUAGGGCUGGCACGAGUCGAAGAACGAAUGCGCGAGUGUGUUUGAAACGUACCCGUCUGAUGGCUUUUGUUGGACGAGUUCUAUACAAUGCCGCGACACGAAAGUCGUGCGACACAUACCGGACGCUUUUGUCAUAAAAAUUCGACUCGGUGAACUUGGACGUCUCGACAAGCAGCUUUAUCUUCGACCGCCGUUUUACCGACGUCGUUCAGGACGACUUAUCGAUCCCCUCCGGCAGUGAUCGUGAAG
rnacentral:misc_RNA from 1 species